AUUGAACGCUGGCGGCAUGCUUUACACAUGCAAGUCGAACGGUAACAGCACUUCGGUGGCUGACGAGUGGCGAACGGGUGCGUAAUACAUCGGAACGUGCCUCGUAGUGGGGGAUAACUACUCGCAAGAGUAGCUAAUACCGCAUGAGAUCUAAGGAUGAAAGCCGGGGACCUUCGGGCCUUGCGCUACUAGAGCGGCUGCUGGCAGAUUAGCUAGUUGGUGGGAUAAAAGCUUACCAAGCCGACGAUCUGUAGCUGGUCUGAGAGGACGACCCGCCACACUGGGACUGAGACACGGCCCAGACUCCUACGGGAGGCAGCAGUGGGGAAUCUUGGACAAUGGGCGCAAGCCUGAUCCAGCAAUGCCGCGUGCAGGAUGAAGGCCUUCGGGUUGUAAACUGCUUUUGUACGGAACGAAAAGCCCUCUUCUAAUACAGGAGGGUCAUGACGGUACCGUAAGAAUAAGCACCGGCUAACUACGUG
rnacentral:rRNA from 1 species